AUUCUUCAACCCUUUCUUUUCUAUAAUGGAUCGAGAGGUGUUUGGAUUCUGAGCGUUGCAGUGCGCAAGCAGUUGCUCGCUCGUAAUACAUUAGCGAAUCUAAUGUUCAAUUGGAUUGACUUGGCGUAAUAGACUAUUCGCUGAGGAUUCACUACUUGUUAGUGAGCCAACUGAAGACCUGACUUGCUCCUAAUCAGACUUUCUCAGUCAACUUUUAAG
rnacentral:misc_RNA from 1 species